GCCCGGGUGGCGGAAUUGGUAGACGCGCUGGAUUCAGGAUCCAGUGGGCGCAAGCCCGUGCGGGUUCAAGUCCCGCCCCGGGCA
rnacentral:tRNA from 1 species